CCUACGGGUGGCAGCAGUAGGGAAUUUUCGGCAAUGGGCGCAAGCCUGAACGAGCAAUGCCGCGUGAACGAGGAAGGUCUUCGGAUCGUAAAGUUCUGUUGAAGGGGAAAAAGAGCGGAGAGAGGAAAUGGUCUCCGAUUGAUAUUACCCUUCGAGGAAGUCACGGCUAACUACGUGCCAGCAGCCGCGGUAAUACGUAGGUGGCGAGCGUUAUCCGGAUUGAUUGGGCGUAAAGGGUGCGUAGGCGGCGUGCUAAGUCUGGGGUGAAAGGUACCGGCUCAACCGGGACAGGCUCUGGAAACUGGCGGGCUAGAGAGCAGAAGAGGGGGGUGGAACUCCAUGUGUAGCGGUAAAAUGCGUAGAUAUAUGGAAGAACACCAGUGGCGAAGGCGGCCGCCUGGCCUGUUACUGACGCUGAGGCACGAAAGCGUGGGGAGCAAAUAGGAUUAGAUACCCUUGUAGUC
rnacentral:rRNA from 1 species